UUGACUGUCCAUCAGUAGGAAUUGGUUAAAUAGUGUCACAAAAAAUUCAUGCAGAGAAGAUUAGCAUGGCCCCCCUGUGCAAGGAUGACAUGAAGAUUCUUGAAGUGCUCCAUAUUUUU
rnacentral:snRNA from 1 species